CAAUUUUUGAAUCAUUGAUAGCUCAAGCUGACAGGCUGCUCUUACUAAAUCCUCCUCCAAUGACCGAGCAUCCUUAACCUUCCACGCAACAAAGCAACUCAAGUAUGUACACCAUGCUUUGUCGAACACUGCAAGCUGGGGCCUGAAGGUACAACGCUUUGAUAGCACCGAGUCUGACUCAUCAUCAGAGCUCUGAACAGGUCCUUCCAGAAUAAUCCUUACCAACAACUCAAACUCAUGAAUAAAAUCCUUUGCAGACUCUGCCAAGGUAGCUUCCCUCUCUCCUUGACCACUGAAAACAGCAUCCGGAUGGCCCAAAAUCAUGUAGGCACAAAGAACAACUC
rnacentral:lncRNA from 1 species